rnacentral:rRNA from 1 species
UACGGGGGGGGCAAGCGUUGUUCGGAAUUACUGGGCGUAAAGGGCGCGUAGGCGGUUGGAUAAGUCAGCUGUGAAAACCACGGGCUUAACUCGUGGCCUGCAGUUGAGACUGUCUGGCUUGAGUGUGGGAGAGGAGAGUGGAAUUCCUGGUGUAGCGGUGAAAUGCGUAGAUAUCAGGAGGAACACCGGUGGCGAAGGCGGCUCUCGGGACCACAACUGACGCUGAGGCGCGAAAGCUAGGGGAGCAAACAGG